CCCCAGCUAGACAUUGUUCACAAUCCGCCCCGCACUCCGCUACAAAAUGUGACCAAAAAGUGGACGAUGUCGAACCGCUUUGAAGAAGACACAAAAUGGCCGAUGGAGUGGACUGUUCCAAACAACAACUGGGUGAUCUUAUCGCCCAACCCUGGCUAACGAGUAAACCCGAGGUCACCCUGCCAUCGUCGAGCUUGUGUGGUACUAGUAUUUCUUCAAUUCUCCAUCCCUGUUGAUAUUCUCUGUGGUAUCAGAAAGUACAAGGAGAUAAUUAUGUCUAUGGGCAGGGGAAUUAUGGCUAUAGCAGUAGUAGGAGGCACUUGCAUCGCUGGAUAUGGUAUUUUGUCAGCAGUCACUCCAAGCAGAGAAGCGAUGCUGCAGAAACUACCAGAGAGUGACCCAAGAAAGAUGGCAGAGAGCAGAGCCAGAUCAGCACUCAUGAUGGCGAAACUGAAGGAGGUUGCUGAGUCAGACAAGCCAAUUUGGAUGGAGGUUGACAAGGGUAGCAAGAAAUGAUAGUGCCUUUUUCAAGAGUAUACUCGGAAUGACUCAUUGCAAAGACUCUGUGACUAUAGCAAGAACUGAAUUGUGUAUCUCUCUAGGAGAGAGGAUUGAUUUGCUGUGACUAUGGAUGCUGAUACUAGGAACUAUCAGGGAAAUAAAGUUAUGUUGUGUAUCAUAUGGAAAUUGAAGAGCAAGACAACAGUAUAGCAAAUGACAUUGAGU